UUGUUGCUAUCACCUGCCACAAGAAGUGAAAGAUCUCUCCACCAUCACUUCCGGGUAUUUAAACUUAUGUAUAAAUGCGUUUGUUCUGGUUCUAAUAAAUAAAUAAUCACAUCUCACAUUCUUUGCUUCUUACUAUUUUAACUCCGGUCACUUCCAUACUUUUGGGAGAAUAUGAAGAACAAUAUUCUCUCCAGUGUCCUUUGUGUAUCUAUACAAUUGAUGAUAUAAACAUACAGAUUGAGAAACAAACCUUGAUCCAUGUUUUAUACAGGUCAGACUCAUCGAAACUGUUGACAACCUCUUCCACAAAGUAUUUGAUGGGACUAAACACCUUCUCUUGAUGAUCCUUUCUAUUCAUAUCACCAAACACCUUGUCUUGAUGAUCCUUCCUGUUCAUAUCUCCAAGCUUCUGGACAAUCUUGGAGUUGCUCUCAAACCUCUUUUUGUUGCUGGUUCCAACAUCAAGAAUAGCUUCCAGGUAACUAUUGAUCCAAUCAUUUCUUGCCAUCUCUCUGAUUGUUAUUGCACUGAAAACUAAAAGUUACAUAAACAUCUAUAAGCACAACAAUAGAGAAAACAGAACAAAUUCGCUUUUCGGCAUUUUUACAUACCGGGAAUUAUAAUUCAGCUAUAUAGGAUAGAAGAAGAGAGAGGCCUAGUUUUUGAUAUCAACUCAGCUUUGCCAUUUUAUAAUCUCAUACAAAAGGUCCCUCCUUUUUCUCAUUUUUAUUUCCUGAUAUUUUAUUUUCAAACUUUGGUUAACUCUGGUGUGGUUCUGCUUCUCUGUAUUAUCUCUCAGACGGGCUUAUUACAACGUCAUGUUAUUAACCGUUAAACUCUGGAAAGACAAAAUAUUAUGUCCUAAUCUCAAAAUGAGAAUCUUCUUUUUAGUAAGUAUUUUUUUUCUUUUGUGCAUUAUCAGAUUCUUUAAAAGAAUAAGAAUCACCCAUUUCCUUUUUCAAGUUUGUCUCUUUUUCGUUAGUAGAGAUAGAGAAUAAUGAGUGGCACAAGGCUUUUUCUCCCAUUUGUUCACAUUAGACUUGUUUCUACAGCCUCAUGUUUUGUUCAUUCCUCAAUGAACUUCAACAUAUUUGUUUGGGACCAAAACCAUCUUAGAUACUAACCCGAUUAAACGGUGACCAAGUUAUGUUUCAGUUAGAAGUAUGGUAUGGUUUUGUUUGAUGUGAAUAUGAUUGGGAAUUGAGAAAGAUGGUUGUUUAUUUGCAGGUAGAGACGUGAAGAAAAGGGAUUUGAAGUCGUAUAAGUAUGUUGUUAGCUCUGUUUGGCAUGUGAAAGUAAUGGAACAGAGCAUAUUCCCAAGCUUUCACCAAAUUGGAUUACUUUUAAACCACUUCAAUCCUGAAAAAUAAUGUGAAUGGUUUCUAUACUUGAAGAAGAAGAAUCUGAGUAGGAAAUUGUAAAAUGUUAACUGAAAUUGUAUGGAG
rnacentral:lncRNA from 1 species